rnacentral:lncRNA from 1 species
AUGUGGAGGAGCCUUGGAGAGAACAUGAUAAAGCAAUCCAGCUCGUGGUGCAAAUUGGUAGAGGCAGAGUACAGCACCUUCGGCAGAGUGAAUCAGAACCUCGUGGGACCAGACCUUUAUCUUCUUGGCGGAUGCAACUACCAAUUGAUAGCUCAGAGCGGAUGUUGCUGUCGUGGUCUGGUCCUUUGGUGGGAGAAAAACACCUCUGCUGCUGGGAAAAGGCCUCCUGGAGCCUGUGACUGGCCAUGCUGCAUGUCGAGGUUGGUGCUCCCUGGCUUCUCUUGCCAAACUGUGAGCCCGGAUGAAUGCAUUUGGGCAUCCUGCGCCUGUCCUUUCCAUCUCAUUGACACCAUAGCCGAGCCUGGCACAUGGCAUUUUCGUGGUAGAGAGCAGCGUGGCGACGUGCCACCCCAGCCCGGGCUGCCUUUCAAUGACCGGAGAUGAAUUUUAUGGCUUGCACUUGGCAGGGGAAGGGGUCAGAAAAUGCUGUGCUGCGUGCCAGCUCCACUGCUGGAAGGAGAACAGGGCCAUGCAGGGCUGGUCCUGCAUGAGGCUGUCUCUGACGUGUAAACCCUUUCUUCUGCACGCUCUGGCAGCAGAGCUGCUUUCCCCAAGCACCCCACUGGUGUUGGAGCAUUCUUUGUGCUGAGGCUGCUGCCAAAGUGUGGUUCUGCCCAGGUCGUAAGCCACGCAGCCACAUGCAGCUAGACUUGGGAAGAGUGCAGGAGCUAGAAAACGGGUUGGAACCAGCUAUUUUGGGACACAUCUGUGUGUGGGGGUGGAUGUGCUGUUUGACAGGAGUAAGAACUAGCAGUUUAAUCCAGACUCCCACCCUGCCUUCGUGCUUCAUGAGCAAUAGCAAUGUGUCAUCCUCCCAGAGCCAUUCAAGAAAACUCAUCCGGAGCAGCUGCGUGUUUGUGGGUGCCCCUGGAGAGCUGGAGGCCACGGACUAGGUGGCAUUUUUUGCCCUGAAAGCAGCAAGCCCUGACCCAUCAGUAGGAAGUUUUCCAAUGCUGCUCUGCUGCCGGCUUGAAAGCGAGUGGUGUUAUCUUAAUCCUCAGCUUUCUUUCUGCUUUGGGUGAGGGACACGUUUCCUUCCCUGGCUUGUCUCACAAGCUCCUUCCCCAGCACAUCCCGUGUCAGCCUGCUGCAGGAAGGGCCUUUCCUCCCUUCUCUCCCAGGAGUGCAAGCAGGCAGCUCUGCCUGAUUGAUCAGCUGCCUUCCAGCCUGGAUCAUUCCUCUGCAGGUCUGUCUCUCACCUGCCUGGGCACUGCUAAAUCUUCCUUGGAAGGAACAGCUAUUUGUCAAGUAAAAUCGGAAGGUUUGAGCCUCACGUUCCCCAAGGCCACUUAGCAGGGCUCUGGCUGUCUCUGGACACCUGUUUUUCUGCAGCAGAGUGGUACAAGUGACAAUUAAGGCUGUGAAGCUUCUCUGGAAAGAGAGCUGCCUUCAUCCUGCUCGAUGUCGGUGCCGCUGCCAUGAGCUCUCGUGGUGAGCACUGAAUGCGUUUUGCCCCCACCCCUACGGCCUGGAAAGCUGCAACAUGCCCCAGGUUUGCCCUCCGUGGAGCGACGUCUGUGGUCCACGUGCUGUCACCUCCUUCCUUUGUGCUGCUCUGCACCAAGCCGCUUAUUGACUAGGAGCAUAAUUGUGCUGCAUCAUGUCUAAUUGGUUUGCUCUGUCGCUCUCCAUUUGCUUUCUCCGUCUGCACCCUCCCCGCUCUCUCCCUGAAUGCACGGAGCUGUGAGCGUGAGCGGGGCACGAGGCCACCGUCCUGAUUGCUGGAGGAAAAAAAAAAAAAGAAAAAAAAAGGCACCCGACUUCCUCCUUUCUUCUCCUAAAUUCAAAUGACAAGAAACAGAGGAAAACAAUUUUGCAAACCCUUGGCGGAGGGCCAGCUCUGAUAAAGAGCCGUAAUUAAUCUCCCCAGCUUUAUUAGAAUAUCAUUACAAUUAACUCAGCAAUCUUGUGUUGAUCAAAGCCAUUGUUCCCCGCAGAGCAGAGGAAGCCAGUGGUGAGUGUGUGAGCCUGGGCUGUGCCGUGGAUGCAAGCACCUAGAGCUGGCUCCUUGCUGCCAGCUGACAGCACCAGCACCGGUGGAGGUGUCCCACGGUGUGGCCCCCGUGUCCUGCCACUUGCAGCUCUGAUUUUUUUCAGCAGCUCCUUUCUUGGUGAGCUUCCAUGGCCUAGAUCCCUCACGGGCACUGGGCGCAUUCCCCAUGUAGAUGCUUUUGGGUCCAGCCUUUUCAGCAGUGGGUUUUUGCCUUUGUGCGUGCUCACACGGAGCUUCCCGUGCCUGCUUCCUCGUCUCAGCUGGCGAUACGGCUGCUGCUGCAGUAAUCCAGCCAACAGCAGCAGAACGGUAAAGACACCAGGGGAAACAUUUGUGGAAGCCACGUUGUAAAGAAAGGAGAGUUGUCAAAAUGAAGCUUCAUGAGCUCUCCAGUUAAAUAGCCCGAGAUGUGUGCUAUAGAAAAGCAAGGAAAACGAGCACUGUUAAACUACCCCUUUCCUCCUUUCCAAACUGUUCUCUUAAUAUCGGGUAUUUAUCUGUAAUUUAAGCCUGUGAUUAGUUUUAUCAAAAAGAUAGUUCUGAGGCAGAGAUCUUCGCAAUGAUGAGGCGUGUGUUUGAAGACAAGCACAGCCACACUUGCACUGCAGGAUGAAGAUGUAGCUGCUGGCUUCCCCGAGCAUCCAUCUGUGGGGGCCCUGUGCCAGAAGGAAUCUCUGGGUUGCACACACCUCGAAACGCGCUCCGGUCUGCCAGGGCACUUCUCUGCCCCCUGUGAAGGUGCUGGGUCCUCUCAGAUGCAGGUCACGGGGUGAGACAGUUUGUUCAUCUGGGGUGAUCUGACACCUGGGGCUCUGACAAAGCUUUCUGGCUCACUGGCAGCUCUGGGUGCAGGGAUCUGCAGGCACCUGGGACACGAAGAUAUUUUGCAGUUUUGCCACAAGAGCAACCCAUCGGGCUCGCUGCAGAGCCUGCGGCUUCUUUCUGAUCUGCUCCUGCCUCUUUCUGCCUGGUAGCAGCUCUGUGCCAGGCUGGAGCCAUGCCCAGGAGCUCUCUUCGUGCGGAACCAAGGAGGAGAUUUGUUUGCUCCAAGGCACACAGCCUGGCGCUGCCCAACGUAAGAGCAGGAUUGCACAGGUGGAGGUGUUAUCCCUAGGAGGGUUAUUAGGGUUGUUCUGUAUUGCCUGGGCCUUCCCUCUGCCAUGGGCACCUGGAUUUAGGGUGAUCAGGGCUGGAUUAGGAAAAAUAAAAUAAAAUUAAAAAAUAAAAAGCCA